rnacentral:rRNA from 1 species
UACGUAGGCAGCAAGCGUUGUUCGGAGUUACUGGGCGUAAAGGGUGUGUAGGCGGUUUUUUAAGUUUGGUGUGAAAUCUCCCGGCUCAACUGGGAGGGUGCGCCGAAUACUGAAAGACUAGAGUGCGGGAGAGGAAAGUGGAAUUCCUGGUGUAGCGGUGAAAUGCGUAGAUAUCAGGAGGAACACCGGUGGUGUAGACGGCUUUCUGGACCGUAACUGACGCCGAGACACGAAAGCGUGGGUAGCAAACAGG